UGUACGCGGCUGUGCUCUCGGGCCAGUUUUGCGGAGGCUGAAUUAUUUAUUACCCUUGUCUUUUGCGCACUUGUUGUUUCCUGGGCGGGUUCGCCCGCCACCAGGACCACAUCAUAAACCUUUUUUAUGCAGUUGCAAUCAGCGUCAGUAUAACAAAUGUAAAUCAUUUACAACUUUCAACAACGGAUCUCUUGGUUCUGGCAUCGAUGAAGAACGCAGCGAAAUGCGAUACGUAGUGUGAAUUGCAGAAUUCAGUGAAUCAUCGAAUCUUUGAACGCACAUUGCGCCCUUUGGUAUUCCAAAGGGCAUGCCUGUUCGAGCGUCAUUUGUACCCUCAAGCUUUGCUUGGUGUUGGGCGUUUUUUGUCUUUGGUUGCCAAAGACUCGCCUUAAAAGGAUUGGCAGCCGGCCUACUGGUUUCGCAGCGCAGCACAUUUUUGCGCUUGCAAUCAGCAUAAGAGGACGGCAAUCCAUCAAGACUCCUUCUCACGUUUGACCUCGGAUCAGGUAGGGAUACCCGCUGAACUUAAGCAUAUCAAUAAGCGGAGGAAAA
rnacentral:rRNA from 1 species